rnacentral:ncRNA from 10 species
CACGUUCAUCACCCUUUUAGGUUGACGGAAGUAGACGAAAGUCGAAGGAACGCAUG